rnacentral:misc_RNA from 1 species
AACGCACCUUGCACCCUUUGGUAUUCCGAAGGGUAUGCCCGUUUGAGUGUCAUUGUAAUCUCACACCCCUAGAUUUAUUCGACGGGCGGUGGACUUGGACGCUGCCGCGUUAAGCGGCUCGUCUUAAAUGCAUUAGUGCAACUUUCGGUUGGACAUAGUACAGCGUGAUAAGUAUCUUCGCUGGCUCUCCUCACGGAGGUGUUCGAACGUUAAGCUCUGUGCUUCUAAUCGUCCCUUGUGGACUAAGCUUCGGCUUACUUGACAACUUGACCUCAAAUCGGGUAGGACUACCCGCUGAACUUAA